AGAAUCAGCAAGUAUCCGGGGUAGUUGUGCACAAUCAAAUAAAGAAGAACAGACCCAGAUCUUCCAUGUGAAGUAUCCUAGUAAUCAGAGGCCCAGGAUCAGACCUCCGAUGGUUUGCAAGGAUAUUGGUUAAAUCCACAGGACCCGAUGAAGAAGAUGCUACUGAAUCCACAGUGACUGAUCUAUCUGAAUCUGUAGACUUUCUUCGCAGGUCCAUGGAGUACUCCUCAUCGCCAAGCACCAGAGUAGACUGUGAGAGUAAAGAGCCAGUUUCAGUACCAGAUGGCACGUCAAAUGUAAUGCCUGCAUUCAAACCACAGAUCUUAUCUAAAGGAAGCUCAGUAGCUACAGCAAUUUGGGAAUCCAGUGUGGCUUCUAUAGCACAGAUAUAACUUCCCACAUCAAAUACUGGGCAAAAGGAACAGGCAUUUAGAGUUUUCUGAGUAUCAUCCCAUAUAUAGGAAUGAAGGGUGCUGCCUAUAGCAACUACUAAACGGUUACCAUCCUUAGUCCAGCAAGCACAGUGGAUAAGCCCACUGCUUUUGAUAUCUGCUUUAACCCUGGUAUUGUCAGAACGAACAGUAUGCAGGACUGAAGCAUCUCUUUUUGUAAGCACAGCCAGGACUUCUUUCUUUGAAUGCCACACACAGCCCUGGGAAAGCAAUGGAAAUGGCUCACCAAUUUCACAAGUCUGAGAAAUCAAGGGUUUGUUCUUCUCUGCAGUGCUGUAGCCCAGCUGCCAAAUGCUAACAUGCUUUUUAUGCUGAACAGCAAGCAAAGCUGGGAUGUCUGUAGAGCAGCAUGGGCCCCAGUAAAGCCCAUGCACAUGUUCAAAUUGACCAACAACACUUGAGUCUCCAAACUUUAGUUCUCCAUUAUGAUAGUAUAGAGCAGUCAGUACCACUUGCUUCCCAUCUGUCCAGGCAAUUCCAUGCACAGGGUGGAUGGCCUGAUACAAAGCAUUAAGGCCAGUUCUCAGCAGUUUCGCCUUUCCCAGCUCCAUCUUUUUAAGCUUUGUGUCUACUGGUGAUUAUUCCAAAGUAGAGAGUCCAUGGAAUUCAUUUGCAGAUCAUGAUGAGGAAAAAAAUCUCUUUGACUUCCUUCCUUCCUUCCUUCCCAGAAUCAAACUGUUUUUUUCUGUUACUAGUCCAAGAGACUGUAUUGUGAACUCCCUCUUAGUAAGCCUGCAGCUGCUCUUCUAAGUAUAAAUCCAUGUGAAAGCUGCUUUUACUAUGUCUUCCCUGGGAGGAGUUAUCAUCCUCAUGUGAUGGCUAACAAGGUUUAACUAAUUACUGUGCAUUUUCAUAGAAGUCUAUUUUUAACUCCUCACUGCUGGAAGUAUAUUUAAAAAUAACACUCUAAUACUUUGACCUUCAGUGAAUGAAGGUCUUCUUUGGUGGACAUAGGAGAGAGAUUGUAUGCUGUCAAGCUAGGGUAUUAAGCUACAGCCUGAAAUAAUGACCUGACACUUCUCUCAGCCAGCCUUUGAAGGGUAAAAGAAGAUUUAAACAUAUCUGAGAACUGUACAAGGCAGAUUGCAAUCUUUGAUGGACAGCACCUUUCAAAGAUACAAGAUCCUAAGUGGCUACUGAAAGGAAAGUCGGAAAGGGAAAUCAUACUCUGUUCUGUCAGUAGUUACAGGAGAAUGAAGGAAGAUGAGAUUUAUAAAGAGCAAAAUAUUCUAGAAGCAAAGAUAACUGACUAGUGUUCAUUUUACUGAGUCAGAUUUCCUAGCUACAAGUAUAUAUUGAUUUUUUUCUUUGGCUUCCCAGCCACUUCUGUCUGAGGACUGUUUCCUUAUCAUAUAGCCUACAGCCCAAACUGCAAAGAGGAAGGCAAAGUUUUCCUGUUUUCCCAAACUCUGGAUUAUCUACAGCAUGUAACACAACAUCAUGCAAAGAUCCUUGAGCUAGCAAAAACCCGACAAAUAACAAGUGUGGCAAUAUGAGAACACGCCAGUUUGAUUCAGCUGCAUUGUUUCGGGACUGGAGCUGGUUCAGUGGAAUACCUUGGGUGUCUUCAUUCUGCCCUCCUCAGCACAUCCUUUUCUGGGGUUAGUUUGGGCAGAGUCUG